AACAGCUUGAUUGGAGGUUUUAAACGCGUUAUUGGCAAAUAUGAGGAAAAUAAUAAAAGCUAUAAAACAUAUAGUGAUAUUGAAGUUCAUAACCGAGUUUAAUAACAUAUAUUUAUAAUUAAAUGUUUAAAUUAAUACUUUUCGAUAUCGUCCAUCUCACGUUCGUGCCAUUUGUGACGGGUGACAAACAUGAUAAAGCAAAAAUAUGCGAAUGAAUCUGAUUAUACACAGAUACAGUAACAUAUAAAUCCAACCAUGUUUGUCUUUUUCGUUUUUCGAACGAAAGUUUGAUUACAUGUUUUUCUCAGCCACUCGGCUGGCAAUCCAUUUUGCAUUUAAAAGCGAUGUUGUUCCCGCGACACACGUUAAGUGUUUAUUUAUAAUUAGUAUAUGUUGUUCGUCUCUAGAACGUAUUCUUAAUCGUUCAUCGACACACGCAUUUUAUUAAUCCACGCCAAGUAUAUAAUAUCAUUUGUUUACUUGAUUGUUAUUAUCAUUUACGCAGAUAACCAUAUUUUUUCCCGAAUAUCCGCCAUCUUGACAGAAAAGUAGUCAGUAUACGACACGCGCUAAAUCGUGUAUUUCCGACUACAUUCGCCAACCAAUAGUUAAGUCAUAUUGUCGCUCGGCUCGAGACUCAUGGGGGAAUGUCAUUUACUCAUGCGCAACAUUUUUUUUUCUUAGAAACAACAAAAAUCUGUUAACGUCGUCAAGAAUUUUUUAACGAAACACACAUGUAUAUUUAAAAAAACAUCGAAAAGAAAUACAUACAAAUGAAUCGCAAUCGUAAUUACUCGUUAAUAAACGCCAAGUAGUUGGGACGCUGGAAAUAGGAAAAGACACUCGUAAAUUUCCGUUAACGACCUAAGUUUACGAUAUGCCGAAGCGUUAUUUUGAUUGGUCGAUUUUCAAUAAAACAAAUCCUCAAUAGAGGGCGCCAAAUGCGUCGUUCGAUGUUUCUGCUUGAUUUCAUCUGUUUACAAACAAUAAUUGUUAUGUUCUCUUUCAUAUUUUGCCAAGUAUUAAUGGGAAAAUUGCGCCUUUUCGGUGUUACGAAAGAGGGCAAUUCUUUCUUCGAUAAAUGAAGCGGACUAAUACGUUAUUGGAGAUUUCGUUACGGCAAAAUUUCAAGGAAAAGCGGUAAGCGUAUCUUCAUUCAAAAAUCAUAACGACAUAUUUCUUUCUUAACAUUGGUAUCUCAUAUAAACUAAGUGAAAUUACUAUCUACGUGUGUUUAAAGAAGCACGAAUAAUAUAAAUUAUAUGUUGAUUGCCUUUACCAUGUACAUGUGCAUAGAUAAAUGCCGUUCACAAAAUCAUGUAGAGAAUCGCUGGUGAUGGAAGACCCUGAUCUAUAAGUUUCCCACAGCCUGUUCGGUUGCUGCUUCAGAUCUAAUUUAAAUGUUUGCUUUUCCCCAUUUAUAUUAUUUUCCAUAAAUUGCAGGUGAUUGAUGGGGCCUGAUCAGAAACCUUUAUGACAGAUUGAACUUGAAGGGUGAACUUUUAAGAAUACUCGACUCAGAUGACACCAAUAAUCCACCAAACGAAUUCUCUGCACCAGCUGCUUCUCAGGUGAAACAGAAGAGGCUUCACUUCCGACCAGUCCACACACCCAAAUGUCGAAAUGAGACUAUUCAUCUUGAUCAACCAGCGUCAGAGAUCCUCAAGAACAGAUGGACACAAGCAGAAUCAGUGUCCCUUCAGCGCCUGCUUUCCUGGUCUCUUCAAGAUCAGGUUUAGGCACAAGCUGCCAUCCAGGUCCCCCAAGCGGUCAAGGUCCUUCCAAUUGCUACUAUACAGGUCCCACCACCUUAUGCACUCAAGGUCCCUCUAUACUUUGAAUUCCACGUUCCUCUGUCCGCUGCGGUUCAGGUACCUCAAACAGCUGUGAUCUGGUUCUCAACGAGACAUGGCUGCUGAGGGCAUUACCUGCUGCAUGGCCCUUGAACGCCAGGACCAAGGCUUCCUUCUACAGAUCAGAAUGUGAUCCAAUGAAAAAAAUAGCAUUGAAUAUGCAUGACACAAAUUAGCUUUGUAUUACAUGUUUAUCUGCUUUUUGUUCUGGCAAUAAUCUGUCAAUCAAUAGAGUACUUAAAAAGUGGUACAAAUCUUUCCAUUACAUGUGUUAACAUAUUUAUAUCGAACCAACUAAGAACAAAUGUUGCCAUUGUACUCGAAAGUGUAUGUUGAUUUAUGUCUUUCUCAUCAUAUCAAUUUUUGUUAUGUUGAAAAACAUGAUUUGUGGAUUAAAUAUUUUCAGAUGCUUUUGCCAAAAAAUUCCAUUUGCCUCUGGUGGAAGUGGAUGAGAAGAUGUGUGGGAGGCAUUGAGGCGCUUGCUGGCGAUGUACAAAGAUAUUUUAUGUAUAAUGCUAGGAUGUUAUGUAAUAAUAAUAUAUUUUGUUUGCUAUUUAAUUACCUUUGGAUGCUUCAACUAAUUUAUUUUGCACUGAUUAGUACUUAAUGUUUUAUUGUUUUUGUUUAAAAUGUUCAAUAUAACUCUAAUUCGAAAUGCAACAAUGCACUAUUUUGCGUUUUUAUGGCAACAUUUAUCAGAUUGAGAAUUCAGUAUUUUUUUGUUGGUAUUAACCUUUUUAUUUAAUAUGACAUGAAUAUAUUUAGUAACCUGUUAACUCAAGAAAUACAUGUAUAUAUAUGCAAGUGUGUACUUUGUUCUGUUAUAUGAAUGAUGUAUUAUUGCCAUGUCGUUCAUGCUGUAAAAACGUAUAUGUGAGUUUUCGCGUUCAGACAGUAAAGUUUUAAUUCAUGUGUUCCUGUUUUGUUUGAUUAUAUAAUUUUCUUGUAUUGAAAAUAACGUUUUCAGUGAGCUAAAGCAUGCUAAUGUUGGUUUAAAGCGAGUUUUAAAGCAUGUUUUACUGUGCAAAAAUUAAAAAGUCUUGCUUUCAGCUCACUUAAAAACCGAGUUAAGCUUGCUUUUAGCUCACAUAAAAAAAAACACUUUUUAACCACUUAAAACCAACUCUUGAGACAGAAGUUGGUCUAAGCAUGUUAAAAAACCCUCUAAAAACCAACUUGUAGAAAAUAAUACUCACUUUAAACCCACUUCAGUUGGUUAGAAAACCCACUAUGUUGGUUUUAAGCGAGUUAAACCAAGAUUUAACUUAGAAAAAAAAACAAGUCGGUAAGCUAAAAAACCAAGUCGGUAAGCUAAAAGCGUGUCUGAAAAACUCGCUUUUAGCACUGUGCCAAUAUCGCAGGGAUUAACACAGUUGAAGAAAACUCACUUUUAACCAACUUCAGAUGAUUAAAAAACCCACUAUGUUGGCUUAAAGCGAGUCAAACCAAGAUUUAACUUAGAAUAAACCAUGUCGGUAAGCUAAAAAACCAAGUCGGUAAGCUAAAAGUGUGUCUAAAAAACUCGCUUUUAGCUCGAUGCCAAUACCGCAGGGUUUAACACGGUUUAAAACUGAGUUAAAACCGGAUUUUGAUAAAUUUUUUGACAAGGGAACGGUCGUUUAAAUUUUC